rnacentral:lncRNA from 1 species
AUUCCAAACCUUUAUUUUUCUUCUUCGACAGUAAGCCUCCUAUUGCCACGAUUGCAAGUGGCAGUCCCUCACACUUCCUUAAGAUAUUUCGAGACAUCUCUUCCAGUUCCGGAGGGCAUACAGCCUUAUGUUCCCCUCUAAAGGCUUUCAUACAAAAGAGGGUCCAAGCUUCAUUUUCUGGUAAAGCUUGGAGUUCAUAAACAUGACUAGUGUUCUCUAUAGAUUCAGCAAAGUUACUUAAACGUGUAGUGAAGAUAAUUCUACUACCACAGUUACAAUCAGGAAAUGCAUACCGUAUUGUUUCCCAAGCGUACACAUUCCAUACAUCAUCCAAAACAAUGACAUACCUCCUUCUCUGUAGAUAAUUUCUUAGAAAAUCAAUUAAUUGGAGGUCAGUCAUUGAUUGCAUAUUAUCCGGAACAGGUUCGUUUGCUGUCACCAGAAACCCCUGCAGAGCAACUCGUAGAAGCUCCGUGGAUGCAAAUGAUUUGGAAACAGUAACCCAAGAAUGGGCAUCAAAGCUUCUUCUGAUGGGGUGGCUGUCAUAGACUUUCUUUACGAGGGUUGUUUUUCCCAACCCACCCAUUCCAACCACAGAGAUACUGGAGAGCUUUUCUUCUCCUUCUACAAGCCACGAAACCAGUUGAUGUUUUGGGUUCUCAAUUCCCACGACAUCAGCUUCAUCUAAGUAAAGAGCAGCUAAACGGGGAGCAUGCCAUUUCUCUACGGUGGCACUGGAGGUUGAUGGCAUGUCUAUCCUAUUCAAAGAAAAUGCAUUUCUUCUCUCUGAAAUGGCUCUCACCCUUGUUUUAAUGCUUUGUAACUGGACUGCCAGCCGGUGCCGCGCCCUUAAUUUACGGAUGGAACGAUAUGAAUUGCGAAGAUAAUGGGUAAAACCACUCCCGGUCCCGGGAGAUGGAGCAAACCGGAGCAUGAACUCUUCAAGAAUGUCCUCAGCAUCAUAAGCCACAUCUCUCACUUGUUUGACCCAGGCUCUCAGUCCUUGAUCACUCUCACUUCUUUCUUCCGCAUCCUGAAGGAAAGAUUUCAUGCUGUACAAAUCAUCCUGUAGUUCAACGAUUCCCCCUCUAACUCCUCCCAAGAACCGUGUUUCUUCUGCUACAAAGGAAGCCAGUUUCUCGAGCACCACCUGCACUGCGAUCAUAGCCAUGGCUUCUUGCUCCAGAAUCACCAAUCCUGAUCUCUUUUCUCUCGCCAAAAAUUAAGGCCUCACAUAUGUGGUUGUUUCGUAAUGUGAUUAAUGGGGAUGUGGUUUAUCUGCAGCCAUAAUUUUUAACAUUUUCCUACCACAAUUUUUUAGUAGUGGAUCCUAUCAUAAAUUGUGAUAUGACAACAGUGAUAAGAAGCUAGCUACUUCUUGUGACAAGAAAAUAGAUGAAUAGUAACCGUCUAGGUGGUGGUCUAGUAGUAAAGGCUUGGAAUCAAGAGGUUUGCUUUUUUUGUGGUCUCAGGUUCGAACCCUAGGUUGCUUAUAUGAUAGCCACUGGAGGCUUACAUGAUCAUUAACUUCAGGGUCCGUGGGAUUAGUUGAGGUACGCGCAAGCUGGCCCGGACACCCACGUUAAUCUAAAAAAAAUAGAUGAAUAGUUAUCCAUUUUUUUCAAUGAAAUGCUCCACUGUUUGGCCGUACUUGUCAGGUUUAAAGCUAAAAAUAUAUUAAAUUAAGUUUGAUUCAAUAAUUUUUUUUUUUAAUUAUGUUUUAUUCAAAAAAUUAGUGUUAAACAUUAUUCAAUGACUACAUAAAUUAGACGGAGAUCGCUUGAUGACGCUGCAUUUACAGAAUUUGAUCGCAAUCUCAAUUUUGUUCCUGAUUAUAUUUUACCUGAUGUUGUUGUGCUCUUAAGAAAUUUUUGAAAACUGUAGUCCUUGUCGAAUAUAUUUCAUACGUGAUGGAAUUGUGGAUAGUUUAAUGGAACAAUAAAAAAUAUUUAUAUAAAGUAUUAUUUAUUUCGUGAUGUAAUAGCAAUAGUUAAAUCUACAAUAUUUAAAUUAAAAACCAUCUAUAUUAAUAUAUAUAUAAUUUUUUUUAAAAAUUAUUUUAUAACCUCAAUUUCAAAAGCAUUCUUAACCAAACACAUUAAACUACUUUUUGUUUAACUUAAAUUUCAACCACAGUUUUAACCAAAUACCUAUUUUUUCAAACUACAAUCACAAUAAUUACCAUAAUACUAAACACACCCGCGCGAGAUCGAUCAAAUAUUGUAUUUUGUACGUGUUUCACAUGGGCAGGAAGCCACCAGGAACUCAAUUUUGACAGGGAAACCCCACCUAAGAGCAUCUCUAAUGAAAAAUGUUAUAUUAAAAAGCCAAAUGGAGAAAAUGACUUUUUAAAUAGUGUAAAUAUAGCUUUUUUUAUUAUAUGCAUUCCAAUGAUAAAAAACUAUUUAGAAAAGCUAAUUAUAUUUUAAUAUAUUUCAUGUUAAAUUAAUUUUAAUAUAAUUAUAUAACUAAUUUAGAUAUAUUAUAUAUAAUAUAAUUAUGAUAUUAUUAAUUAUAUAAUUAAUAUGAGAAAUUUAUAAAAGUAAUAUAAAAUUAAUGAAGUAAUAUGAAAGUUAAAAGAUAUAAUUUAAAAUUAAAUAUAAAAUUUAUUUAUAUGAAUAUUUUUAAUUUUAACUUUUAUAUGUUAUUGUUAAAAAUUUAAUUUUUUAAAAAUAAAUUCAAAUUCAAACUUUGAAAAAAACUGCCAACAUUUUAAAUUUAUUUUGAUUUUUGAAAAAAAAAAAUUUAAGCUUUGAAAAAAUAACCGCCAACAUUUUAAAUUUUAAAAUUUCAAAUUUUGAAAAAUUACCAACAUCUAAGAUUUACAAUUUGAAAAAAAUCAAUCUAUAAAUAUCUAUAUACCUUAACAUUUUUCUUUCAUUUUCUUCUCUCCAAUAUUUGUAAUUUCAUUAAAAUUCAUCAUGAAUCAUUCUAAUUUAAUUUUAUGAUGCUUUGAUUUUGAUAAUGACACUCAUGUGUUUGCUUUUCAAGUUGCUACUACUUUUGCUGAAGAAUCGAACAAUCAAGGGGAGAACAGGUAUCGUGGCUCUAUUCUGUCACAAUAUUCAAUCGUAAUAGUAAAGGAAGGUGAGUUAAGUUAUAUAAUGAUUAUUUGUGAAAAUCCUAAAUUCACUGAAAAUCAAUUUCGAAGAAGAUUUAGGAUGAGUCGUCUUUUUCUUCGGAUCGCAAAUGCAAUGGAAGCUUAAUCCAUAUUUCAAACAAAGGACAAUGCUCUUGGUUCUGUUUAUCUGCCUUCAAAAGGUAACUGCAGCUCACAGAAUACUUGUAUAUAUUCCUGCAGAUCUUACUGAUGGAUAUCUUCGAAUUGAAGAAACCACUGCGAUAGAAAGUCUUAGAGCUUUCGUCAAAGCAAUCAUAGAAGUUUUUGGUGAUUGGUAUCUAAGGGCACUAAACAAGUUAAAUAUUUGUCGAUUAUUAUCAAUUGAAGAGCAGCGUGGAUUUCCAGGGAUGUUAGGGAGCAUUGACUGUGUGCAUUGAAAAUAGGAGAAAUGCCUAAUUACAUGGCAUGUGAUGUAUACUGGUCAUUUUUGUGAACCAACUAUAAUUCUAGAAGCGGUGGCUUCACAAGAUCUUUGGAUAUGGCAUGCCUUUUUUGGAAUGCCUAGAUCAUUAAAUGAUAUUAAUGUUCUUAAUCGGUCACCUAUCUUUGUUGCACUUGCUGAAGGUCGUACUGUUUCUGUCAAUUAUACAAUUAAUGUGCAUGAAUAUACAAUGAGAUACUAUUUAGCAGAUGAGAUUUAUCCUAAUUAGUCAACCUUUGUUAAGACCAUCCCAAGACCAUUAGGAGCAAAGAGAAAAUAUUUUACAAGCAAGCAAGAGUCUGCAAAAAAAGAUAUGAAGCGGGCAUUUGGGGUGCUUCAAUCUCGUUUUGCAAUUGUACGUGGACUUGUUCGAUACUAGGAUGAAGAAACACUUGCAUAAUAUGAUUAUUGAGGAUGAAGGAGCAAUAAACCUUGGAUUUGACCAUGAACAUGAAGUCAAUUCCUUUAUAUCAAUGUCACAUGGUGAAAUACCAGAAUUACAUGAUUUUCUUCAAACUCAUAAUCGAAUUAGGGAUAGAGCAACUAGCUCUCAACUACAAGAAGAGUUGAUUGAACAUUUGUGGAAACAAUAUGGCAACGAGUAGAAUCUUUAGAUUUGAACUUCUUAUGUUAUCAUAAUUUUCAAGUUUUUUAUGUUUUGUUUUUCAUUAUGGUUGUUAUCUUUUAAGUUAAUUAAUCCUACUUAUUAUUGUUAAGUGUUAGAGGAACUUCAAAAAAAUAUUAUGAAUUAAUAUCAAUUUCAUAACAAUAUAUUUAAAAUAACCAAGAAUUUUCUGCAUAUUUAAUUAAAAAUACAUUACAUUACAAUAAAUUAAUCAAGGUUAAUUAAAAAUUAAAACCCCUCUUUUGCAUAAUUUCUAACUUUUUAUUUUGAAAAUACACUGCAGAAAUUGGAUCCAAAUUAGAAAUAUUCAUUUUUAUAAUUUGUUCUUCUUUUUCAAUCCUAUCCAAUUCUUAUUUCUCUUGACUUUGUUGAAUCAUCAUGGCUUGUUGCUCUAACAUAAUUUUCCUGUCUUGUUUUUUUUUUUAUCCUCAAUUUCAACUAGAGUAUCCUGAAUUGUUAUAAGAGAUUUGUUACAAUUACCUCCCCAACUUUAUCUUUUCCUUGUAUACGUUUAAGUCAUUCCUUUGCAGUCUUCUGACCGAUUGGUCUAUCUUGAUAAAUCAAUGGUUUACUAUCUUCUCCUAAACUAACAGAAUCAGGGGUAGAUGAAGUUGAUGAAGCCGGACUUGCAUUGACAUGACUUUUUUUGUUUUUUGUUUUACCUUUGAUGUAGACUUGCACGCUCAAAUUACCAUUUGGGUUCUUUUCUUAAGAUAACCCAACAAUGUUCUAGUUGAAAUUGUUUGCCAACGCAAGAAGCAUACAUUGGCCGAGCAUCAUUAAUUUGGUAAAUAAAUAAAUAAAUUAAAUAAUGUUAAAAUAUGUGUUAAAUAAUUUAACAUGAAAAUGAAUAUUAAAAUUACCCUUGAUUCUUCGGUCAUUCCACUUUGCUAAUGAUUUUCAAUUUGAGUAACAAAUCCAACAAAUUUAGCGACUUUUCUAUUUAUUUCUUGCCAUUUACUUGAGAUGCUUAUUUGGGAACGAUUAUUCAAGUUUCCUCCAUUCUUUACAAAGUAGGCAUGUACGCGAGUCCAAAACUGUUUUGUUGUUCAACUCCUGUAAUUGGAUCCUUGCUUGUAUUUAGCCAUGCAAAGACAAGUAAACAAUCUUACUCUGGUGAGAAAUUUUUAUUUCUUUGUGAUUUUUUUGUCGAAUGGACAUUUAAAUUUGAGUAUGUUAAGUCAUCAAUUAAUUGAUUAGAAUCACUUGGUUGAGAAAGAAUAUCUUCUGACUCACUCAUAAGAAAGUUGGUAAAAGAGCUUGGAAAAUUUGAAUCCAUCUACAUUAAAAAAAAAAAACUCAAGUUAAAACCUUAUAAGAAAGUGUAAAAGAAGCUCACAUUCAAUGUCUAGUAAUUUUAUAGUUUCCAUACAUGUAAAUUAAUAAUAAGCAUUGCCUCCUACUUGAUCUAACAUAACAAUUUGACCAUUUUAUGGAACUAAAAGAGAAUUGAUAUACUGGUUUAAUUGCAUUUUCAACAAGACAAAAUAUAAUUGACCUCAAAUUAAAACAGACAAUCAAAAAUAAAUUUUAAAUAUGUCACUCUAUAUUUUCAUCAAUAUCAACUACCAUUAUUAAUUACUCUCAAUUUUAUCAAAGAUAACAACAUAAAUAAAAAUUAUCUUCCUUAACCCAUAUUAAAAACAUAAAAUAAUAAAGAAAUAAAAAUCAUCACAAAUAUUAAAUUAACAAUAAAAGGUCUAAAAAAUCAAGGUAUAUAAAAGAAAAAAUAGAAAAAGCUUUUAAAUAAUCAUACCUUUUCAUUUCAGCUAAUUAACACAAUCGAUGUUAUUAAUUAAUCGGAGAAUAAAUGAUUCUUAUUUUUUUAAAUUUGAGAGAAGGGUGAAGCACAAUACAAAAUUUUAAAAUCUACAAGUUCUUUCCUCCUACAUUUGAAGAAAAUUCCUCUUGCAUUUAAAGAAAAAAAAAAGAGUUGUUGGCCAACACCUAUAAAAAUAGCUGUUGGCCAAAAGUUAUUUGUUUUUGUCAUUUUUACAAGGAAAUAUAAAAAUGACUUGUCACUGAACAAGUAGCUAAAAUAACUAUUUGUUUGCCUCAUGCGUGCGUUGAAGUUAAAAAAAAAUAAAAAUAAAAAUAAAAUAUUUAUGAUGUUUCGUAUCUUAUCAUUAUAUACUAACUUUUAUUUGUUUAUUAGAUAUUAUAUGAAUACAAGUUGUUUAAUGCUACAAAUUCCUUAUCUUUUUAUGCUGGACCACAAGAAUUAUGUGUUUUGAUUGGUAUCAUUUUGUCUAUAAGUAGUAUCGGUAUUUGUUUGGAUUUCAUUUUCUUAAUAUCACUUGACAAGGUAAGAAUUAUUCCAUCCAAUUAUUUCUAUCGCUAUCUUUUUUAUACAUCGUUAUUAUAAAUAAAAUAAAGAAUUAAAAAACAAUCAUGUGAUUUGAUUUUUAAACAAGAAGGAUCUCUCUCACCCAUCAAAGAGAUGCUAGCAGAACACCACAACUAGAUCAACAAGCUAUGGUUUCAUGCAACAUGGAUGAAUUAAGAUCUCUAACGUGGUCUCCCAUGUAAAGAGAUACAUGGCCAUGGUUUAAUUAGGGAUAUAUAUCGACUGAUGACAUGCAUCGAAAAUCACACACAGUAUCUGAUCAUGUGGGAGGCUAGCUCGGUCCCUCUUCAGGGCAUUUAGUUUUGGCGUGCUGCACACAUAAAAUUAAGUCCUAAAAGUUCAGUAUUUUCCGAGAAGAUGUAAAACAGCUUAAAAGGCUGCAUAAAGUUGAUAAAUUUUGUGCACAAAAGUCCCUCGGUGGGUUGGACUUUGGAGGAUCUCCAGCUAUGGUGGAGCCAUAACAAUGGGAAGUGUUGAAAUUCGCUUAUGAUCGGUAGUUUCAGUACAGACACCCAUGUUUCUUGUUCGUUGUGAUUGGAAUCAGAUUCUAACUCGGUGAAAAUGAACCGGAUAAAUUGGAUACUCUGAUGAAAAUGCAAACACAAUGAAGUGAUCCUCGAACCUGAUGAAAUAUAGGUUUCGAGAUUGUAAUCUUUUUCUAUUGGUAUCUACAAUGAAACAAUACAUUAGAUAUAUAUAUUUUUCUAACAUUCUAAAUUCAAAACAUGACUAAUAACACAGAAAAUAAAUAAAUUAGCUACUAUAAAUUAUAUAUAUUUAUAUUUUUGAAACACUGCUCGACUCAAAUUAUUGAUUUAAAUAUUUAUUUCUAAAUUCAACUACAUUUAUUUUUUGAAUUAUUCAUAUAAUUGAUUUAAUCAAAUUCAAGUGAUUUAGUUAGAGAAUUCAUUCUCAGAUGAUUAUAAUGAAAUGUCAAUUCAGUGUGGCUAGUCACCUAAUCAUAUUUCUUUUUCCUCUUUGAUAUUUUCUCUUAAGUCUGCUCAUCAUGGAGGACAUGCUCCAUCGAUGAAUUGGAGAAAGACAGGUUAAUUUCCAUACAUGGACAUGAGCUUUUAAUGCCCGAGGGAUUUCUCUCGAGAAGGAAAAAAAAUCAAGAGUGGGAAUUCACCUUCACAGCAUGCUUGGAUUGCGGUAUAUGUUACAUUUUAAAAUAUUUUUUUAUUUAAAAAUAUAUUAAAUUAGAUUUUAUAUUUAUUUUUUAAAAUUUAUUUUUCACAUUAUCAUAUCAAAAAAUUUAAAAAAAUAUAUAAAAAAAAUUAAAAACAAACUCAAUUUAAAAAAAAAAAAAACACAAUUCGACAGCACUUUCUAAUCCACCCACGGACUUUUAUAGCUGAGCCACGUGGGGUUAAAUCCAUGGCUGGUCCCAAUACUCUUUCUAUUUUUCUGAUUUAGACCCUAUACCUACAACCAUGUAGGGUUUAAUCCAUGGUUUAAGCCACGUAGUAUGACUGAACAAUGGUCGGAAACCUAAACCAUGCAUGUAACUCAGCAAUCUUUGUGGGUCAGUAUUUUCCGAGAAGAUGUAAAACAGCUUAAAAGGCUGCAUAAAGUUGAUAAAUUUUGUGUACAAAAGUCCCUCGGUGGGUUGGACUUUGGAGGAUCUCCAGCUAUGGUGGAGCCAUAACAAUGGGAAGUGUUGAAAUUCGCUUAUGAUCGGUAGUUUCAGUACAGACACCCAUGUUUCUUGUUCGUUGUGAUUGGAAUCAGAUUCUAACUCGGUGAAAAUGAACCGAAUAAAUUGGAUACUCUGAUGAAAAUGCAAGCACAAUGAAGUGAUCUUCGAACCUGAUGAAAUAUAGGUUUCGAGAUUCUAAUCUUUUUCUAUUGGUAUCUACAAUGAAAUAAUACAUUAGAUAUAUAUAUUUUUUCUAACAUUCUAAAUUCAAAACAUGACUAAUAAGACAGAAAAUAAAUAAAUUAGCUACUAUAAAUUAUAUAUAUUUAAAUUCAACUACGCUGAUUUUUUGAAUUAUUCAUAUAAUUGAUUUAAUCAAAUUCAAGUGAUUUAGUUAGCGAAUUCAUUCUCAGAUGAUUAUAAUGAAAUGUCAAUUCAGUGAGGCAAGUCACCAAUCAUAUUUCUUUUUCCUCUUUGAUAUUUUUCUCUUAAGUCUGCUCAUCAUGGAGGACAUGCUCCAUCGAUGAAUUGGAGAAAGACAGGUUUCCAUACAUGGACAUGAGCUUUUAAUGCCCGAGGGAUUUCUCUCGAGAAGGAAAAAAAAUCAAGAGUGGGAAUUCACCUUCACGGCAUGCUUGGAUUGCAGUAAAUGUUACAUUUUAAAAUAUUUUUUUAUUUAAAAAUAUAUUAAAUUAGAUUUUAUAUUUAUUUUUUAAAAUUUAUUUUUCACAUUAUCAUAUAAAAAAAUUAAAAAAUAUAUAUAAAAAAAGUUAAAAACAAACUCAAUUUUUUUUUAAAAAAAACACAAUUCGACCGCACUUUCUAAUCCACCCACGGACUUUUAUAGCUGAGCCACGUGGGGUUAAAUCCAUGGCUGGUCCCAAUACUCUUUCUAUUUUUCUGAUUUAGACCCUAUACCUACAACCAUGUAGGGUUUAAUCCAUGGUUUGAGCCACGUAGUAUGACUGAACAAUGGUCGGAAACCUAAACCAUGCAUGUAACUCAGCAAUCUUUGUGGGUUAGUGGUAAAUUACAGAAGAACAAUUCUGAUUACAUUAUUAAUGUUUUAUCUAGAAAUUAAAAGGGAAAGUAUAUAUCCAAGAGGGAAAAAGAGCAAGGCAGGCAGGAAACAAAUAAGGUGGGAAAUUGCUGAGGUAUAUAUCAAGCUUGUCCCCAAUCACCAUUACUUUAUGCUCUGCUUGCCACCUUCCCUCAGGGGUCCAUAGCCACUCCUCUCGCUUCUUCUACCUUGGCUCUCGGUCCUUGGCCUCUUUCUGUGUUCUGAGAUUUUUUUUUUUAAUUUUUAUUGAAGUAACAAAUCAUUCAAGGAUCGUACAAAGAGUGAUGGAGCAAGCACUUCCGACGAGUAAAUGGUGGGGCAUUGAAAGAUCAAAUGUUAUCCAAAUUGUACAAGUGUAUAGCUCCCACAUCUCUCAUGGUGCUUAUUAUUUAUUUGAUUUUGGUCUGUGGGUACCCGUAUUUCAUCACCUUCCACCAUGUUAAACGUACAAUUGCAAGGACUGAGAAAGCAUUUGAAAAUAUAAUUUAACAAGUGUUUAAAAAAAUUUAAUUUUUUAUAUUUUCAGAUCAUUUAAUUGAUAUAUUAAUUUUAAAAAUAAAAAAAAUAUUAUUUUAAUAUAUUUUUAAAUAAAAAAUAUUUAAAAAUUAAUCAUAAUCGUACUUUCAAACACUCUGUAAAUGAGCUCAAGUCGCUUGCAUUAUUGCUAAAUUUUAUAAUAUUUUAAAAGAUUAGUGCACAAAGAGGAGCAAUGCUUGGUAGUUUUUCCAGUUUUGUGGAAUGAAUACAGAGAUGCCACCAUGAAAAUUAUUUAAUCAGCCAAUUUCAUAUAAAUUAAUCAAAGAAAUUUGAUACUAUUAUGUCUUUGAUUUUUCAAUUGUUGUAUGAUGAAAUUUAAUUAGUAGAAGAAACAUAUUAUUAUUUUUUAUAUAGAAAAGAGAGAACGCUAUCUAUCUUCGUUAAACGGUAUCUCACUUUCUCUUGGGAUCACUUCUGCUAUAUUAGAUCUUCUUCUUCUUUUUUUUUUUUAAAAAAGUGUACAAGUAUGUUUUUCGGGAGAGCCCUCAACGUUUUUCAGAUUUUUGAGAGGAUUUUUUUUUUUUUACAUAGCUCAUUCCCGUAAUGUUUUAUGCGCAUCUUGAUGCUUGAUUCGUAGCUCUAAUUAAUUUUCAUUUUUAAUGUCAAAUAUGUACUGAUGAUAUUCUUCUCUCCUUCCACUUGAAGCAACUUGGAGUUGAAAUUGGCAUGCCCCAAACUUUUAUUCUUCAACUUAAAUAGCAUAUAUCACCUUUACUUGAUCCACAAAGUACAAACGUUAGAGAUCGUCAGAUUCCACAUACACUUUUCCUUCUCCUAAUCAUCAUGGUUUAUGUCUUAAUAAGGGUUUCCUCAUCAUUAAUGACAUGUCUAUAUUUACCCACAAGGUUCAACAUUAAGUGAUUAAGAUUUGUGAAGAAAACAAAAGUGAUUAAGUUUUAAGAACCCAUGAUUUCAUGUCCCAUAUUUGAAUCACAUGAGAUAUAUAGCUUGUGAAUUUCUGGUCUUUAUGCACCAUAAAAAAAUGGAGCUUCUUCCAUUUGAGAGGGUAGACCAUUAACGACCACCUGAUCGAUAUAAUAGCAGACGUGCCUUGACAUGGCUAGUUCUAAGCUAAGAGAGACUAGUUGUGGUGGUUCCACAAAGAGAUUCGCAAAAAUCUUACUCUCUAUAAUCAAUACAUGCUAGCUAUUCUAGAAAAUUAAGGGGGAUUUUUAUUGAAUCUUGCUUGCAUCCGAUGAGACUACUAAAUAUAGGUCAAGAUAAUUCCCUCUAUUUUUUUACCCUAAUAAUCAUUUUCUAAACACAUAUUGGAUGUGCUAGAAGUGGUGGUAAUAAAGUGACAUCAUUCUUAGGUCGGGCCCUCCAUGAUUUCAAGUUAAUUCAUCAGUGGCUUGAUCAAGUUCAUAGCUCCUCUAUUUGUUUAUACUGCAACAAUUAUUUGAAGUCACUAAAACCUAAAGAGAACAGAUCUUCUAAUAAUAUCAUUUCCCAUCAUGACAAGAAUAUAUUGUUGUUACUAUUAUAUAAUAUUAGACAACAUUGAAUUAAGCUAGCUAUUAGUAGUGGAUGAGGCACUUGAAUUGGGCCAAAUUCACUGCAUUACAGUCUCUAAUCAAAAGAUUUUGCCUCCAAACUAAUCUCAUACUUAACGAAAAGAGGCUCCAUCAAAGACUUGCUGUUGGAAUCUUCUGUCACAACACAUAAAAUGGGAGAACAAGCACUUAUUCCCCCACUUGGGGUGGAUCUCUGACGUAUUUAGAGCUCCAUUUAUUUACACAUUAAAUUAUCUUUUCUAUGUUCUCUGCAGAUAAGGGUACUGCCCAGAUAGUGUCCCACAUAUAUCCACUUGAAGAUAUGUCUAUAUACGUGCCUUCUGAAGAGUUUUAGAGAUGAUAAUGGAAAACCACAACAUAUGCUUAUGGUGCAGAAUGUUGCAUUAUAUAGAAGAUUAUUACAACCUAAUAAUAAUGACAGUAUCGAAUAUAAUCUAAUUAUAACAACUGUAUCAGCUUUACAAGGAAAGCCUAUAUAUACAAUUAAUCAGCUCCUCAUAACGUCUUGAUUUCCAUGGAUUGAUCCUUGAUUUUCUCAUUGAUUGCUGCCGUGAUUAUCUCCAGAGUAUUAUCACCAACAUCCCCCCUCAAGUUAAGCGUAGUUGGGAACACGCGAAGCUUGGAUCGAAACAGAAGAAACAGAGAUUUGGAUGGACUUUUGGUGAAAAUGUCUGCUAUUUGCAAAGUGGAUGGCACAUGUUGAAUUGUCAGAAUACCAUUGCAGACUAAUUCUCUAACAAAGUGAACAUCAAUAUCAAUAUGUCUAGAUCUUCGUUGAGCUACUGGAUUUCUAGUCAUGAAGAUAGCACUGGUGCUGUCACAAAGUAAGGUUGGCUGUGCUGGUAGUUGAAUACGUAAAUCAUGAAGAAUGUUUAGCAACCAUUUAACCUCAGCUGCAGUGAGUGCCAAUGCUCGAUAUUCUGAUUCUGCUGAAGAUCUAGAAACCGUGGUCUGCUUUUUAGAGGUCCAUGAAAUCAAAUUGUCCCCCAUAAAAAUUGCAUAUCCUGAUGUUGAGCGACUGGUUUCUGGGCAACCAGCCCAAUCAGCAUCUGAAAAAGCUGAGAUAUUGAGAUGACUGGAUGAACUGAUGCUAAGACCGAAAUGAAGAGUGCCUUUAACAUAUCUGAGAAUUCGUUUGACGGCCUGAAAAUGUGAUUCUCGUGGUGCAUGCAUGAAUUGGCUUACUGAAUUCACUGCAUAUGUAAUAUCCGGUUUGGUGAUGGUGAGAUAUUGCAGUGAACCAACAAGAGAUCGAUAGAUUGUUGGUGAGUGAAAUAGUGGACCAUCAGAAGUUAAGUGAUGAGAAACAAUCAUCGGUGUUGAUAUUGGCUUCGAAUCCUGAAGUUCAGCCCUGAUAAGAAUAUCUCUUGCAUACUUGACCUGACUUAGGAACAUGCCCUGUGGAGAUUGAGUAACUUCUAAACCCAAAAAAUAAUGUAGAUCUCCAAGGUCCUUCAUAGAAAACUCUUGCUGGAGCUUGUGAAUGAAAGCAUCAAUGAGAGAUACAUUGCUUCCAGUUAGAACAAUAUCAUCUACGUAUAGCAGCAAAUAAAUAAUACCAUUAUCAAAUGAAUGAACAAAUAAGCUGUAAUCGGCUUUGCUGCAAAGGAAACCAAUUGUGAGCAAGAAAUUGCUAAAGCGAUGAAACCAGGCUCUCGAUGCCUGUUUCAAGCCAUAUAUGGCUUUUUUUAGGCGACAAACAUGGUGUGGAUGAGAAGUGUCAAUAUAACCAGGUGGCUGUUCCAUAAAGACCUCUUCCUGAAGAAGACCAUGAAGGAACGCAUUCUUAACGUCAAGUUGACGUAUGUUCCAGCCACGAGUUACUGCAAUAGAGAGGACAAUGCGGACUGUAGAAGCUCGAACAACUGGACUGAAUGUGUCGUGAAAAUCAAGUCCAUAGAGUUGAGUAUAGCCUUGAGCAACUAGGCGUGCUUUGAACCUGUCAAUGGAGCCAUCAGAAUGAUAUUUGUUGUAACCCAUUUUUGGGUCCCCCUGAAAAAUAAAAUAAAUAGCCAAAAGAGGUUAGAAAAAUAACCGGAGGUAGAAGCGCCCGGAAAACAGUCAGAAAAUUGGUCAAGGAAUUCAAAAAUACAAGGAUUAAAUUUUUGACAGUAUAUUCUUGAAGGAUGAAAGCCCUAUUGAGAAGAAAAAUUUGAAUUUUAGGGAGAAAAGCCCAAAUUUGGAUUCUUAUAGGCUUAAUUGGAUUUUUAUGGGCUUAAUUGGAUUUGUAUGGACUUAAUUGGAUUUUUAUUUGAAUUUAUAGAAGAUUUGAUUGCAAGAAAAAUUAAUUUUUAAGUCAAUUUGGGCUUUAAUUUGGAGAAAUUUAAGUUCUGGGGCCAAAAUAUAUUUUUUAGGAAUUUAUUGGGUCAAAUCAGGGGCUCAAUUGCAUAAAAAUUGAAGUUUAAGGGCCAAUUAGGGAUUUAAUUAAGAAAAUCCGAAGCCAGGGACCAAAUUGGAAGAGGCGCGUAAAUGGAGGGGCUGCUAUUUUUUCGAUUCAGGGGCCUAAUUGAAGAAAUUGAAAGUUUAUUAAUCAAUUGAGGGCUAAAUUGCAUAAAUCAGAUGCCAAGGACCAAAAUGAAAAAGGCGGCCAACAAGAGGGGCAGGGACCGAUUUGGAGGACUGAUUUGAAGUUUGACCCGUUUAAAUGAAACGGCGCGUUUUAUCCAAAACGACGCCGUUUCAUAUAUAUAUAUAAUAAUAAAAAAAAAAAAAAAAGAAGAAGACAGAACGGUGUCGUUUUGAACGACACUGUUCGUCUUCUUCCUUUCCCCCCGCGGAAACAGAGACAAAACCUUUUUUUUUCUUUUCUUUUAAAAAAAAAACUUCCCGCCUCUCUCUCUCUCCUCGCCCCCACCACCACCACCGAAAGCAAGAGUGGCCGACCAGCCGUUGCGUGAUUGAAGGCGCACUAACCGUUUCCUUUUUGCUUAUAAAUAGAGAGAGGCCGAGAGGAGAGGGAGGGAACCCGAAGAGAGAGAAGAAAAAAAGAAGAAGAGAGAGAUAGAACCAGCGAGAUAGAGGGGAAGAGAAAAGAAUAAAACGAAAAACAAAAAGAAAAGAAAACAGAAAACAAAGAGAAAGGAAGGAAAGGAAGAGGGGAAGAGGAAGGAAAUUUGUUCUCUCCGCCGCAGCAACACCACAGCGCCGCCGUCCUCGAGGCCACGACACCGCAGCUCCACCAACGGUCGCCUCCACGCCAGGUGCACAUCCCCUCCCCCUUUGCAUUUUUUUUCUUUUGUUUUCGCCUGGCCUCCUGCAUGUUGCAUGCAGGAGGCGGGGGGGAGAAAAAUAAUUCUCCCCCCCCCGCUGGGUUUUAAGGCACUGGGCCAGCCCGAUGCUGGCCCAGCCUUGUAAGUCUGGGCCGGUCUUGGCCCAGACUAUAGAAGUUACGGGCCGAGACCGGCCCACAUUAGUUACGGGCCGAGACCGGCCCAAUAUCAUUGCGGGCCUAGACCGGCCCGCCCCCUUUUAUUAUUAUUUUUUUGGGCUGAGCCUGGCCCAUUUAUUUGGGCCGGCCCAGCCUUAUAAUAUAUUAUAUAUUAUUAUAAUAUAUAUAUGUGUGUAUAUAUGUUAUAUAUAUAUAAAAUAUAUUUAUAUAAAAAAAAAUCUUUAAAAAUAUUGUGAUUUUUUCUGCAUAUUUUUUUGUCAAAAAUAUUUUAAUUCUGGUUUGUAUUUUUAUACUGUAAAGAUACAAAACCAGUGUUAUAAAUACCCGGUUUUCGUCAAAAUAUCAAAGAUUUUCAGAAUAAAAAAUGUUUUUGCUUUCAAAAAAAUUUCUAAAAAGUCCCUAAAAAUUUUGUUGAUUUUUCUGCAUAUUUUUAUCAAAUGGUUUAAUUUUGGUUUGUAUUUUUAUACUGUAAAGAUACAAAACCAGUGUUAUAAAUACCCGGUUUUUCGUCAAAACAUCAAAGAUUUUCAGAAUAAAAAAUGUUUUUGCUUUCAAAAAAAUUUCUAAAAAUCCUUAAAAAGGUUGUUGAUUUUUCUGCAUAUUUUAUCAAAAAAUGGUUAAUUUUGGUUUGUAUUUUUAUACCGUAAGGAUACAAGCUCAGUAUUAAAAUACCCGAUUUUCGUCAAAGCAUAAAAAAAUAAUAUUUUCUAAAAAAUUGUUUUUUGUUUUUAAAAUACGGCCUAGUCUCUCCAAUAUAUAUACAUAAAUAUUAUAACAUCAUAUUUUCACACAACAAAGAAAAUUUUCAAAACAAUAUAUGUAUUAACAUGCAUUUUGGCUUUAAUAACCAGUUUAUUCAAGCCAUGAGAACUAGGCCAAUAUUUCAAAAAUUCUAAAAAAAUCUUUUUGUUUUCUUUUAAUAUUUGGGAUUACGAAUUUAUAUGUAAAACGUAUUCCUAAAUAUUAUUAAUAAAAUUUUGGUAUGGACGUUAGAACGGUUAGGAUUUUUACCCGAUAAGAUAAAGACCUCCUUACUGAGGGGGAUUUUUCUUGAACCAUAGACAGACCAACAACUAGGAAAACACAAUAACACUUUUAUUUAUUUUUAUCAGACAAUAAAACAAUGCAGCUUACCUUAGGUAAGGCGUAUUUGGGGUGCUAAUACCUUCCCUUUACGCAACCAGUCUCCGUACCCGAUCUCUGAGACCAGUUAGGUUCCUAGUGACCAAAAUACUAGGUGGCGACUCCAAAGAACCAAAUAAAAAUAAAUAAAAAAUUUUCGCCAGUCGGACCCGCGAUAUGUGGAUUGUUUGGGGUGCGACAAUAUUUAAUCCGAAAAAUCCAUUUGGAUCCAACCACAUUGGUAUCAGGUGGUCUAGGAACCAGUUCCCAUGUUUGGUUAUGAGUGAGGGCACGAAUUUCAUCAUCCAUGACAGCUAACCAUUCGGGUGAUUUAGCAGCACUUUUGAAUCCUUUUGGUUCCUUCAUAACUAAUAGCGAUGAUAAUAAAUGAGAAGCAGGAAUUUGACAAACAUAAUUAUAAUGUUUGGAUUUGGAGAUACCAGCUUUUCCACGAGUUAUCAUGGGAUGAGAGUUCAGAUGUGAAGAAGAAUGUUGAGCCGGUGCAAUAGGUAUAUCUGAAGUAGGCUUAAUUCUGGAAGCAGUCACAACAGGUAAUUCUAAAACUCUCUCAGCUAUUGUAGGAGACGCAGGUGGUAGCAAAAUUGAUGGACUCUGAGGCAGCUCCAAAGCACAUGAUUUACAUGGUAUAGAUGGAGUAAUUGAUGGUAAGGACCGAGAACCUGCAGAAGAAUAAGUGCUAGACAAAGGAGAAGUUGAGGGACUGGGAUCAUGAAAAGAGAUAAAAUCUGACAGUGCAGGGGAAGGCUGCAUAUGAGAUGAAGAUGAUGGAAAGACUGUUCCAUCAAACCGAGCAUGUCUAGUGAUAAAGACUCGAUGUGAUUGGGGAUCUAAGCAUCGAAAUCCUUUAUAAGAUGAAUUGUAACCAAGAAAAAUACAUGGAAGGCUUCGGGGCUCAAAUUUAUGUUUAGCAUAAUCUCUUAAGUAUGGAAAACAUAAGCAGCCAAAAAUACGAAAUAAUUCAUAGGUAGGGGACUUACCAUACAGAAUUUCAAAUGGAGAAACUCCAUUCAAGACAGGUGUGGGCAAGCGAUUGAUAGUGAACACUGCUAUACUGAAGGCUUCCACCCAAAAAUUAAGAGGAACAUGUGCAUGAAAGAGCAUUGUAAGACCUAUCUCAGUGAUAUGUCGAUGCUUUCUCUCGGCUCUACCAUUUUGAGAGGGUGUAUAGGGACAAGAACGUUGAUGGUGAAUACCACAUUUGUCUAAGUGAGACUGAAAAAUGUUACUUGUAAAUUCUCCUCCCCCAUCACUUUGGAAUGUUUUUAUCUUUGCUGAGAAUUGAUUUUCAACAAGUGUUUGAAACUUGAUGAAGGUGUGAUAAAAAUCAGUUUUGUUCUUUAAUGGAUAGAACCAAGUGAAGCGAGACUUGUCAUCGAUAAAAAUAACGUAAUAUCGAUAGCCAGAGAUUGAUUGUAUUGGUGCUGGUCCCCAUAAGUCACAAUGUAUUAAUCCUAAGACUGUUGGAGAAUGACUAUCACUUAAGGGAAGAGAUAGUUUAUGGCUUUUGGCUUUUUGGCAACUGACACACAAGGAUGAAUUUGGCAGUAUGGAGGUAAGAGAUAAAAAGCCUUUCCUAUUACAUUUCCUAUUUCCUAUUUCCUAAGCCAAACGCAAAAUUUCACAUGCCUUGGUCGAUAUCUAAUAUCUUUUGAUGGUCGAAUUAGAUCACGGGUCAAUCAUAUUACAGAUAAUUUUGAUAUAAUGAUAUCAAAAAUAAAAAACAUCAUAAGUGUAUAUUUAAUACUAUAGAAACUUGUACAGAUGCGGGCUUGAAGCUGUCAACUUUCCCUGGAUUGGUUAUGUUUGACGCUGUCCAAAAUAUAGUGGUGACAAACGUGGGCAAGAUAGCAGGUUGGAAGAUUCAACAACAGAAAAACAGAGACGAAGGAGCAGAGAAGAGGAGGGAAGAGCAUCAGUUUUCUGUUUUCUGAGGCUCAGCAUUACAUGAUGAAACGUCUGUACAGACCUGAGUGAUGGAAAUGAAUUAAACUUAAACAAUACAGUUUACGUAAAGAAAAAGAAAAAGAUUUAAGAUGGCAAAGUUGAGUAGAAAGAUCAAUAGUUUUCAUUAACUUCAAAUGCCUAUAUAUAGGCUUACAUAGAACUUGAAAUGCAUUAGAACUCUCAACAAACUUGAGAGAUUAUUGGAAUUGAAAUCCUAGACUAAGCAGAAUGUUUCUGCUGCAAAUCCUGAAGGAGAUAAACUGUUACAGAAUUCAAAUAAGAAAAACUAAUCUUAAUUCUAUCUUUCUAAAGGUAAAAUCUCAUAAUUCUAACACUCCUCUUGAGACUUGCCUUAGACAAACCAAGUUUCAUCCUUAAAAAUUCCAGUCUUGAUCUAGGAAGAGCUUUAGUCAUUAUAUCAGCAAGUUGAACAUCUGUUGGACAGUAGUGUAGCUUUAUAAGCUUGUUCUUCUCAGCUUCUCUUAUAGAAUGAAACUUCACAUUGAUGUGCUUGGUUCUGCCAUGUUGAACCGGAUUUAGAGCAAUAGCAAUGGCAGAUUUAUUGUCACAAUGAAGCUCAGUUUGUGAGCUUUGUUCUUGACCCAAAUCAGCAAGCAAUUUGUUCAAUCAAAUUGCUUGAUUUGCAGCAGCUGCCAUGGAGAUAUACUCUGCUUCAGCUGUUGAUUGUGCCACCACCUCCUGCUUCUUUGCAUUCAACAGAUUGCACCUGAACCAAUAUUAAAAACAUACCCAGAGGUGCUCUUCAUGUCAUCAACACUCCCUGCCCAGUCACUAUCUGCAUAACCAAUUAGUUUUACUCCUCCUGUCUUCAAGUACCAAAUGCCAAGAUCAGCCGUUCCUCUGAUGUACUUCAGCACCCUUUUUGCAAUUCCCAUGUGAAUAUUGCUAGGUGAGCUCAUGAACCUUGACAGCAAACCAGCUGGAAACAUUAAGUCAGGUCUAGUUGCUGUCAAGUAUAGUAAACUACCCACUAGGCUUCUAAAUCCAGAGGGAUCUUCAAGUUUCUCACCAUCAUUCUUUGAAACUUUCUCAUUUUGUGCUAAAGGAGUUGCUACUUCUUUGCAUGACUCAAGCUUGAACUUCUUGAGUAUACCCGAACUACAUUGAUGUAUUUCCAUUCCAAGAAAGUAGUUCAUAAUGCCAAGAUCAGACAUUUCAAAAACAUCUUGCAUUUCAGUUUUGAACUCUUCCAGCAACUUUGCAUUGCUUCCAGUAACUAACAUGUCGUCAACAUAGAGUGAUAUCACCAGCUGCAAACCAUCUUCAUCUUGUUUCAGAUAUAGGGUAGCUUCAUUUUCACUUCUUUUGAAUCCUAGUUGAAUCAAAUGAGUAUCAAUCCUGCUGCACCAAGCCCUUGGUGCUUGCUUCAAACCAUAAAGAGCUUUGUGUAGCUUGUAAACUUUGUGUUCAUCACCAGUAAAAACAAAGCCUUCUGGUUGCUGAACAUAAAUUUCUUCAAGUAGUAUUCCAUUCAGAAAAGAAAACUUCACAUCUAAAUGAUAUACUUUCCAUCCUUUUUGUCCCGCAAGAGCAAGUAGGAGUCUUAUUGUGUCAUGCCUAGCUAAUGGUGCGAAAGUAUCUUCAUAAUCCACUCCAGUAACUUGAGCAAAGCCUUUAACAACCAAUCUAGCCUUGUGUUUGAAGAUUGAACCAUCUGGAUUGAAUUUGGUUCUGAAAACCCACUUCACUCCAAUUGCCUUUUUAUCUCCAGGAAGUUCAGUCAAUCUCCAAGUCCCAUUUCUUUCAAUGGAAUCAAUUUCUGAUUUCAUUGCUUCAAUCCAAGCUGGAUCUCCUGCAGCUUCAGAGUAAUUUGUAGGCUCAGCAUGUACAAGGUUACAUCUUUCAUACACAUCAGACAAUUGUCUAACCUUAAGUACUGUUGUAUCUGAAGUUGCUUCAAUGGCUUGUUGAUCUUCAUCAUCAAUACUUUGUACUGGUGAUUCAAGGCAGCUGUGAUAGUCUGUUGAACUUCUUUUAAGUCCCAAUUCCAGCAGGCAUUUUCAUCAAAUUGCACAUCUCUGCUGACCUGAAUUUUGGCUGAAUUCAGAUUGAAAACUCUGUAACCUUUUGAUUCUGUUGCAUAUCCCACAAGAAUCCCUUUUUCUGCUCUAGCAUCCAGUUUUCCUCUUUUGGCAGAUGGAACAUGAAAAUAGCACAAUGAUCCAAACACUUUUAAAUGUUUGGCAGUAGGCCGGACUCCAGACCAUGCCUCCAAUGGUGUUUUGUUUUGAACAGACUUGGUUGGAAGUCUAUUAAGCAAGUAUACUGAAGUAUUUACUGCUUCAGCCCAUAGAAACCUUGGCAACUUCUUUUCAAACAAUAUACAUCUGGACAUCUCCAUCACUGUUCUAUUCUUCCUUUCAGAAACUCCAUUCUGCUGUGGAGAGUAAGGAGUCGUCAGCUGGUGCACAAUUCCAGCUUCUGAACAAAAGGCAUUAAACUCCUUCGAAAUAUACUCUCCACCAUUAUCAGUUCUCAACACUUUGAUCUUCUGACCACUUUGAGUUUCAGCCAUGCUUUUGAAGUUUUUGAACAUAGAUAAAGCUUGUGACUUGUUUUUCAGAAAAUAAACCCAAGUCAUUCUGCUGUCAUCAAUGAAUAAUAUAAAAUACACAUUAUUAUUCAAAGAAGCUGUGCUCAUAGGUCCACAUAUGUCUGAGUGAACCAGCUCCAGCAUGUGUGUUGCCCUUUUGGAUAUACCUUUAGGAAAUGGUUGUCGAUGCUGCUUUCCCAGUUCACAACUUCCACAUGUAUGAGCAGUAACAUGAUUGCAGACAUGUUUUCUACCAUUCCAGUAUCAUACAACAACUUUAAUGAAUUAAGAUUGUAAUGACCGAAUCUUUUGUGCCAAAGAAUGCUUUCAUCAAUCUUUGCACUAAACACAUGUCCAUUAACAGCAUCAAGCUUCAAAUAGAAGCUAUUACCAUCCAUUUUGAUUUUUGCUAUCUCUGAAUUAUGUGUAUCAGUGAUAAAGCAAAAUUUCUCUUUAAAAGAGACUUCAUAACCAUUCUUGAGCAUUUGUGCAACACUAAGGAGAUUCUGAUCUAGUUCAGGAAUGUAAAGAACAUUUGUGAUGGUUUUAAUACCUCUAUUUGUGCUGACUGCAACAGUUCCUUUCCCCUUAGCUUGCACAAUAUCUCCAUUUCCCAGCUUAAUCUUCGGUUGAACUGAUCUGUCAAUAGAGGAGAAAAUUGACAGAAAUUUGGACAUGUGACUUGUGCAGCCACUGUCUAUAAGCCAUGUAUUCAGUUCAGAGGUAUUGCUAGCUUGUGUUGCCAUAAACAAAUGCUCCUCCUCAUCUUUGCUUUCUUCAGAAACAUUUGCUUGUUGUUGUAUUUGUUGCUGAGGUUGCUUCUUCUUGAUUCUGCAAUAUUUCUCACUGUGACCGAGAUUAUUACAGAAUAAACAUUGAAGAGAAGGUUUCCCCUUAAACCAGCAAUCUUUCUCAGUAUGGUUAGUUCUUCUGCAAUAAGAACAUGGUGAGAAAGUCUGUCUUUUUGAAGGUAUACUUGAUUUCCUUUUAGCAUACUUGACAGGUUUGUUUCUUGGUAGAUUACCAGCACUCCUUUCCCUGUUGUUUGCUUGGAAAGCCCCUUCAACUGCCUCAUCAUCUCUCAUAUGAACUCUUUGCUCCUGAAUAUGAAGUUUGCUAAUUAACUCAGCAAUAGUCAGACUUUGCAGAUCGCAAGAUUCUUCUAUUGCUGAGAUUUAGCUUCAAACUUUUGAGGAACAGACAUCAUAAGUUUUUCUACUACCUUAUGAUCUUCAAAUGUGUUUCCAAGAAGCCUCAUUUGAUUUACAACAUCCAUUAAUCUGCCAGAAUAAUCUUUGACAGAUUCAUUGUCUUUCAUCUUCAUCAACUCAAAUUCCCUUAAAUGCAAGAAGUUUAACUGCUUUGACUCUGCUGCUGCCUUCAAAUUCAACUUGAAGCUUAUCCCAUACCUGUUUUGGUGUUUCCAGAUUCAUAAUUUUUGUGAAAAUAUGAUCUGCAAGACCAGAAUGAAGACAGGUAAUGGCUUUGUCCUUCUUGAGUUUUUCUUCUUCAUGUGCUUUCAUUUGAGCAAUUGUAGGAUUUGCAUUCAAUGGCGGAGGAUCAGAAUCGAUUGCCACAACAUUCCAUAAGCCAUAAGAUCUUAAAUAAAAUCUCAUUUUGACAGCCCAAAUAUGAUAGAGUUCUCCACUAAACAUUGGAAUUGCAGAUACAAUAUUGUUUGAAGAAGACAUUGACAAAAAACAGAAAGAAAAUAACUCUCAAGUGUUUCGCUCACCCUCUCUGUGUUUGCCUCACCUUCUCUUAUUGUUAUCACUCAAAAGAAAGAAAAAAUUGUUUGCCCCACAGCCCGUAGGAUCCAUUUGCUCUGAUACCACUGAUGGAAAUGAAUUAAACUUAAACAAUACAGUUUACGUAAAGAAAAAGAAACAGAUUUAAGAUGACAGAGUUGAGUAGAAAGAUCAAUAGUUUUCAUUAACUUCAAAUGCCUAUAUAUAGGCUUACAUAGAACUUGAAAUGCAUUAGAACUCUCAACAAAUUUGAGAGAUUAUUGGAAUUGAAAUCCUAGACUAAGCAGAAUGUUUCUGCUGCAAAUCCUGAAGGAGAUAAACUGUUACAGAAUUCAAAUAAGAAAAACUGAUCUUAAUUCUAUCUUUCUAAAGGCAAAAUCUCAUAAUUCUAACACUGAGGAACUUGGCAGAGAUCAUGAUUUUCCGGAAACUGUAGUCCUCUCCGUAGUUUACCCCUCUAAUUACAGAAGAGUUUCAGAGACCCAUCUCCCCCGGCCCUCGUAGAUACGGGUGAUUGUUGUGAUAUGUUGAACUCUCCAGAAAUCUUCACCACGGUAUCUCUCUAUUGUCUUGAUGAAUGUUGAAGGCAUAUACAGAACCAGGUCUUCUAUAUUUUUCAGGUUUUCAAUCCCAUCCGGCACGUUUUCUAGCACCGUGCAUGCUGUAAUGUGUAGCCUCUCUAACCCAGGCAUCGAUCCUUUUGCUAUUCUGAUGCGUCGCAAUCUCUCCAGUUCAUGGAGAACUAGCCUCUUCAGCUUUGAAAACCCACUAGGAUCACAACACAGUUCUUCCCCUGCAUAAGCUUGACGGAGUUCAAGCACCACCAAACUAGGCAAUUUCUGGAGGGCCUUGAGAGGAUCACUUUUCAGAUUAGAAUAUUGAAGCACUAGCUUGGAAAUAUACUGGAGUGAAGCUAUCCAUCCUGGUAAAGCUGGAAGACUACAUUUGAGAUAUAGUCGUUGGAGAUAUUUUGGAGGAGAUGAAAGGGAGUCAAAUUGUAAGGAUUCAGUUUUGUUUAGUGAAACAAGAUACAAUGCAGUAAGGUGUUUCAACCUGUCCAAAGUAUAACACAGAUCCAUUCCCUGCCUUAGCUGUAAAAUGCCCAGCCUUCUCAACGAAGUUAGCUUUCCCAACUCCCUGACUAACUCAUAAUCUUCAUUCACUUCGACGCUUCCCAAUUUCUGCAGGCUCGUCAAUCUUCCUAUUCCUGAUGGAACUCUCAUUCCAUGAGUGUCUGGGAAGAACGAUGAUGACUGGAAACUGUGUCGAUAGUUACGGAGCUCGCAAAGACAUGUCAAUUGUGUGAUCCCAGCAGGCAAAGAAGAUACAGAACUCCUUUUCAAAUCAAGUAUUUCCAAGUACUUGAGCUUCCUUAUGGACUCUGGAAGCUCACGUAUCAUAGUCCAUCUCAAGCUUAAGUAUCUCAAAUGAAUCAGUUCAACCAAUUCAGGUAGGAAGCUGUAAAGGGGAGCUCCAUCUAAAUUCAAUACUCUCAGCAGCUUGUAAUUGCGAAAACCAUGCUCAAAAGAAUGAUGUGAAGAAAAAGACAACAAAGACCACAGAUAAGGAAAUCUCAUAUCUGAUUGUACUUCCUCAGAGUUUUCAUGGAUUGACAGACGCCGAACUUUCUCAUUCCUGUUGAUUCUUGUUCCGUUUGCUAUCAUAACAAAAGAUUCUUCCCUGGAUUUCAUUUGAAUGAUUUCUCGCAUUAGAUCAUGAACACGACAUGUCUUGACCCUAUUAAAAUAACUCAUCUCCACCACUUGGAUCAAACUCCUAUUCACGAGUUCAUUAAGGUAUUCCUCUGCUACUUCCUCCAUUGUAAAGCCUUGCUUCUCUUCCACAAACCUUUCAACUAUCCAUAACCGGAUCAACUUCAUUCUUUUUAUCAAAUAGUCCUCUGGAAAUACACUUAAAUACAAAUAACACUGCUUGAGGUAGUAAGGAAGAUCAUCAUAACUUAGUUGAAGUAUUCUACGUAGACUCUCAAGGUCGUUGUUACUUUUCAAUUCUGUAGCUAGGCAGUCAUGGACUUUCUUCCAUUCCAAACCUUCAUUUUUCUUCUUCGACAGUAGGCCUCCUAUUGCUACGAUUGCAAGUGGCAGUCCCUCACACUUCCUUAAGAUAUUUCGAGACAUCUCUUCCAGUUCUGGAGGGCAUACAGCCUUAUGUUCCCCUCUAAAGGCUUUCAUACAAAAGAGGGUCCAAGCUUCAUUUUCUGGUAAAGCUUGGAGUUCAUAAACAUGACUAGUGUUCUCUAUAGAUUCAGCCAAGUUACAUAAACGUGUAGUGAAGAUAAUUCUACUACCACAGUUACAAUCAGGAAAUGCAUACCUUAUUGUUUCCCAAGCGUUUACAGUCCAUACAUCAUCCAGAACAAUGACAUACCUCCUUUUCCAUAGAUAAUUUCUUAGAGCAUCAAUUAAUUGGAGGUCAGUCAUUGAUUGCAAAUUAUCCGGCACAGGUUCGUUUGCUGUCACCAGAAACCCCUGCAGAGCAACUCGUAGAAGCUCCGUGGCUGCAAAUGAUUUGGAAACUGUAACCCAAGAAUGGGCAUCAAAGCUUCUUCUGAUGGGGUGGCUGUCAUAGACUUUCUUUACGAGGGUUGUUUUUCCCAACCCACCCAUUCCAACCACAGAGAUACUGGAGAGCUUUUCUUCUCCUUCUACAAGCCACGAAACCAGUAGAUGUUUUGGGUUCUCAAUUCCCACGACAUCAGCUUCAUCUAAGUAAAGAGCAGCUAAACGGGGAGCAUGCCAUUUCUCUACGGUAGCACUGGAGGUUGAUGGCAUGUCUAUCCUAUUCAAAGAAAAUGCAUUUCUUCUCUCUGAAAUGGCUCUCACCCUUGCUUUAAUGCUUUGUAACUGGACUGCCAGCCGGUGCCGCGCACUUAAUUUACGGAUGGAACGAUAUGAAUUGCGAAGAUAAUGGGUAAAACCAUUCCCGUGAGAUGGAGCAAACCGGAGCAUGAACUCUUCAAGAAUGUCCUCAGCAUCAUAAGCCACAUCUCUCACUUGUUUGACCCAGGCUCUCAGUCCUUGAUCACUCUCACUCCUUUCUUCCGCAUCCUGAAGGAAAGAUUUCAUGCUGUACAAAUCAUCCUGUAGUUCAACGAUGCCCCCUCUCACUCCUCCCAAGAACCGUGUUUCUUCUGCUACAAAGGAAGCCAGUUUCUCGAGCACCACCUGCACUGCGAUCAUAGCCAUGGCUUCUUGCUCCAGAAUCACCAAUCCUGAUC